rnacentral:rRNA from 1 species
UACGUAGGGGGCAAGCGUUGUCCGGAAUUAUUGGGCGUAAAGAGCUCGUAGGCGGCCUGUUGCGUCCGCUGUGAAAGCCCGGGGCUUAACCCCGGGUCGGCAGUGGAUACGGGCAGGCUAGAGGUAGGUAGGGGAGAAUGGAAUUCCCGGUGUAGCGGUGAAAUGCGCAGAUAUCGGGAGGAACACCGGUGGCGAAGGCGGUUCUCUGGGCCUUACCUGACGCUGAGGAGCGAAAGCGUGGGGAGCGAACAGG